GAAGUUCUGAGGCCCCCAGUACUGAGCAUCUCUGUGGGUGGUUGGCAGGGUGCUCACAGCAGAUAAUAAUCAGUCGUCUUCUCCCAUUUCUCCUUUCCUCCUCGCCUCCCGACCUCGUUCCUUCCUUCUCUCUCUCCAUUUCUCUCUCUGUGUGUCUCUUUCCCUCCUUGUGACCCUCAGGUGUGCCCACUAGUCCGCAGCCUCCUUGAAAGCCUGGAUGCGGAUUAUGUUAAGAACCGCAUUGCAUUCCAGUGCUGGAGCCUGAGAACUGCUAAUGAUUUGUUCGUUCAGAGGAAGUUUAUAACCUCCAACAAGGAAAUUAAGAGAACAGUUGAGGAAAUCCACUGCAAAGCCUGCCUGCUGUUGGUUCCCAGGGACUUGACUGAAUCUCUGUACCAUCUCCCUCUGGGUCAGCCAGUGCUGCCGCCAUCCCGCAGGAGUGACAACUGAGCCCAGUCAAGGAUACCUCUCAGAUACUCCUCACAAUCAGGACACCCUAUGCUCGUCACCCUCCACCCUGAGCAAUAAAAAGCCAUUUCUGCA
ensembl:lncRNA